AGUGAACGCUGGCGGUAGGCCUAACACAUGCAAGUCGAACGGCAGCACAGUAAGAGCUUGCUCUUACGGGUGGCGAGUGGCGGACGGGUGAGGAAUACAUCGGAAUCUACUUUUUCGUGGGGGAUACGUAGGGAAACUUACGCUAAUACCGCAUACGACCUACGGGUGAAAGCAGGGGAUCUUCGGACCUUGCGCGAUUGAAUGAGCCGAUGUCGGAUUAGCUAGUUGGCGGGGUAAAGGCCCACCAAGGCGACGAUCCGUAGCUGGUCUGAGAGGAUGAUCAGCCACACUGGAACUGAGACACUGUCCAGACUCCUACGGGAGGCAGCAGUGGGGAAUAUUGGACAAUGGGCGCAAGCCUGAUCCAGCCAUACCGCGUGGGUGAAGAAGGCCUUCGGGUUGUAAAGCCCUUUUGUUGGGAAAGAAAAGCAGCAGGUUAAUACCCCGCUGUUCUGACGGUACCCAAAGAAUAAGCACCGGCUAACUUCGUG
rnacentral:rRNA from 1 species